CGUCUUAAAAGCAAAACAAAACAAGCAAACAAACAAAAAAACCACACACACAAAUCAAAACAAUAAAAACUUUGCUACACAAAGCGUGCUUCCAAAAGAGGCAUAUGAUAUCACUGGGGACCUUGUUAGAAACUUGGAAUCUCAGAUCCCACCCCCGACAUACUGAACCAUAAUCUGCAUUUUAACAAGAUCCCCAGGUGACUGUUAGUGCAUUAAAAUUUGAGGAGAACUGACCUAAUAAUACACAAAGUUAUGAAGAAAAAUUUGACUGCAACUAUAACUUAAAAACAAAACUCUGUCUAACAAAGAAACCAUAAACAAAGCUAAAAGACAAGAAAUAGACCCAGAGGCUGGUCUGAUGGUAAUGGGUUAUUCAGAACUUAUUAAUAUUACUGUUAUUCAAGUUGGUAUGCAACUCUCCCACUGCUAAAUUUGGCUUAAAAAAAAAGAAAAGAAAGAAACCCAAAGAAAGUAUCCACAAUACAGUAAACUGACAAAUUACUUAAAUCCAGAAUAUACAAAGAGUUCCUACACAUCAUAAGGAAAAGAACCACAAAUGUAAC
rnacentral:lncRNA from 10 species